UAGCGUAGGGGGCUAGCGUUGUCCGGAAUCAUUGGGCGUAAAGCGCGCGUAGGCGGUCAGGUAAGUCCGGUGUGAAAGUCAUAGGCUCAACCUAUGAAUGCCGCUGGAAACUGCCUGACUUGAGUCCGGAAGGGGCGAGUGGAAUUCCUGGUGUAGCGGUGAAAUGCGCAGAUAUCAGGAGGAACACCGGUGGCGAAGGCGGGUCUCUGGGCAGUGAACUGACGCUGAGGAGCGAAAGCGUGGGGAGCGAACAGGAUUAGAC
rnacentral:rRNA from 1 species